rnacentral:rRNA from 1 species
UACGAAGGGGGCUAGCGUUGUUCGGAAUUACUGGGCGUAAAGCGCACGUAGGCGGAUAUUUAAGUCAGGGGUGAAAUCCCGCAGCUCAACUGCGGAACUGCCUUUGAUACUGGGUAUCUCGAGUAUGGAAGAGGUGAGUGGAAUUACGAGUGUAGAGGUGAAAUUCGUAGAUAUUCGCAGGAACACCAGUGGCGAAGGCGGCUCACUGGUCCAUUACUGACGCUGAGGUGCGAAAGCGUGGGGAGCAAACAGG